GGGGACAAGGAAGUUCAUGGGGACACUGUAAACACACAUGAAAACAUGAGGUAAGAUGAAAGAACCACAGAUCAUAAUACUGGGAAACGAAGGGUGCUAGGGUCAGGAAGGGCCAGGGGUCAGGAAGGGCCAGGGAGGUAUGGAGAGCAGGGGAUCCACUAAGAAGAAAUCGGAUUGGGACACAAAGCAGUGGAGGGUGGCUUAGCUUUGCCCUCUCACAUGUACUGGACACAGCUGAGCUCAGCUCUUUGCAUGCUGGGAAAGGUAGAAGCAAUACUCACUGGGGCAAAGACAAAACCAGGCCGAGGGUCCAGAGGUGACUUCUCCUUUCCCUGAAAUCAAAGGAAAU